UAGUCGAAGUAAGAAAGUAUGUUUGGAUGCUUCUGUGGGGCUUCUGGUUCCAUAUCAAUGCUUGUCGAAAUAUGCCAAUUACUUGUAGGUUCCCCAUAGCAUUUAUAACGCACUUGGUUGGUGCAGUACAUACAGCACAGCCAUAUUUGAUAAGUCUCCACAACCGGCACAGUGGUAGCAUAAUUGGAUAAAUAAGGAUGGACUUUGGUCAUUCUUGAUGUAUUAUAUUAUUUUGGCCUCCCAUGAUUCUCCCUUGUUGUUCCUAUUAUGAUAGAUUUGCGACUAAAAUCACUUCAAAUUGGUAAUAUUCGGGAAUCAAUUCUCUUUUCCUUUGUAUAUAUAUAUCUUGGAUCUCUUCUCUAGAUAUAAAGAUAAAUCUCAACUUCUCUCACAUGAUGGUAAAUGCCUAGCAAUUCGAGUUUUGUAGCUGUUAUAGUUUAAAUCCCAGUCAAUGACCAUCAUAAGUAGCUUGAGUUGUUGAAGCUUAUCCAAUAUGUGUCACCAUACAGGCCUGAAAGUUAUCUAAAUAUAUCUAUAUUGACAUUUAGAAAGAGCUACCAUGGUCUGUUUGGAACAGGAGUUUUAAAAGGCACCUGUGAGCUGCAUCUUUAGGAGCAAGCUUGUGAAGGAGUCAGUUUCACUUUCUACUUAUUUUAAAGGCCUGCCAAAUGCUUUACUUGAGUUCUUAUAGCUUUUCAAAAGCAAAGCUUCCAAAGCACUCCCAAACACAGAGUAAGAGUUUGUUGGGUAUAGUUGUGACUUUAGUGUAGUUUUAUUAUGAUAUGUUGGAACAUUUGUGUUUGGCAACAUUUCUUUAAAGAUGCAGUGCAUUGAAACUAUGUGGGGAAGCUUGGUGCUACAGCAGUAUGGUAUUUCAGACCAUGUAAGGUGACUAUAGUUCCGAACUAACAUUCCGGGAUCUAAGAAUUUGCUCAUUGUUAUUACGUAUCCAUUCUAAUCUCUCUUUCUUAACAUCGAGCAUAGAAUUGUGGGGACAAAGAGUUUAAUUUUUUAGCAUAGCUUGCUACUUCUGAAGUAUAUUGCCGGUUAGAUGUCUAAGACCCUUUAUUAAUUCAUGCGCUGUAAUGCAGGAAAUCUACUGUUGGGGCCUGCAUCUAGAAUAUAGAAUUCAAAUGGAUGGAAUAGAAUUUUGAAUGUCCAUUUGUGAAUUUGUUAUUUUCUAUUUGUUUUAUUCUUUUACAUCCUACCUUUUGAAUUAAUCAUUGCAGUUUGAUCUGUUGGUAGCUUUCUUUCUACAUAAUAUUGUAUAUGUAUCAUUGGACUUAGCAUUGGAUUUGGUGAGAAAAUGUGGAAAAAAUUAUAAGAUGUGUUAAGUUGAGCAAAUUUUGUCCCAGAGAGCAGGCAAGUUUCUUCCCAGCAACCUGCAUGUGCAGUUUUUUUUGCAACCCUUUGCUUUUUGCACCUGUGAGUACAGUUCUUGCUCCAAUUCUUUUUUCCUUUUUGUUUUGUUGGGUAGGAUGUAACCUCACUUCUUUCCCUUCAGAGAUGGCAAUUGAUUUGGCAGUUUUGUAUUCCUCUUUCUUUCAAUUUUACAGCUUCCAAUGCGGUGUCCUGUUUCUUUCUGCAUCAGUAUUUGCUUUGAAUAUUUUGUUGGUCUGAUGACACGUAUAUUUUUUUCUUCCAAACUAACUUACCAUCCUUAAGCGAGGUUGAAUGGUUAUUCAUGCAUAUCUUUCAUGGUAGAUAAAAAUUGUUACAGAUUCUUCCAUUUGAACUGUCUUUUCCGAUUUCCCUUUUCAACAUUCUGUUUUAGGAAGGCAUUUUGGUGAGAGUCUAUGUUCUGAUUUUGGUCUGGUAUGUCAUGAUUCAUGCUUAAGGAAUCUGGAAUGUGUGUGUAUGUGUGCGUCUUUUGACUUUUCUUGCAACUCUACAUCCUAUUAUCAGAAGGAAUUUUGGUGAGCGUGCGUUCUGAUUUUGGUCUGGUUAUGUUACGAUUCAAUCUUCAGAAAUAUGGAGUGCCGAUGAUUGGACAUUUAGACCACAUAGCAUGUCACCUUUAAUUUCCUUUAAAAGGUUGAUCAUUCUUUGUGUUUUAUGAAUGUACAUAGAAUGAGCUGUGAAAUGGGAUUUAAUUUUUAGUAUAGUUGAUUGAUAAAUACAAUGUCAGUGGUGAAGUUACAUUAGCUUGUGCAUAAGAAAUAUUUGUUUGUAAUCCAUUCAAAAGUUUCUACGGUGAUUGCAAUUAAUGCUCCAUUGAGGAAUGCUUCCCAGGAACAAUCAAGCGGCGGAGGACAAGUUGGAGGCUUCUUACUUCUGCCACUUGCAGGAUGAGGUUAUGCAUUGACUUAAGUGCUCUCUAGCUGUUCAACUGAAUCUCCUUUUUAGUAUGAUUUGCCAGAAAAGUAUGUCUUAGUUUAACCAUAAUUUCUUUCAGAUGUGAAAUCUCAUUAUAAAAGAGAGCCUUUUCUGUCUUUCUGAGAUUUUCCGCAUGGUUGACUGUUGCCCAUUUUCUUACUUUCUGCUAAAAUCCCCUUUAAGAGGGUGGUGUCCUUUCUUUUGUGUCACCUUUGAACUUUUCCACGUGUCAACAUUCGAUAUGGUCGACUUCUUUUCCAGGUGCCAAAAAUUCUAUGUUUGAGCCUCUCGCUCGCUUUUUGGCAGGCCACUUACCUGGUUAUAAAGUUUAGAGAUACUUCGUGGGCUCGGGGCUUUACCGAACCCACAAAUGCCAGUAUGAUUGCUCCAAUUUCUUGUCAGUUGAUGCAAUUGCCUUUGAAUUGCGGCAAAUACACAGCUCAUUUGAUAGAUUCAAAGUCCCAGGAGCCUUUGCCACUAAGCCACACACUGUUAUUUCUUGUCAGCAGGCAAAUCCCUUAGUCGCGGUUCAUGAAUGGAGUCAAGUUUUGCAACCUCUUCUACCAUCCUAUAUAUUGUCGUCUUUUCAUUCUGUGUUGGAAUACUGCAACAGUCGCGUGAAUUGUCCAGACCUACGUGAGAAAUUUUUGAGAUGGAUUGAGGUUCUGGUUAUAGCUGGAGAUAAGACAGCAGUGCUUGGGAAGCAUCGGCCUUGGAAGCUCCUGCUUGUACGGGCUUCUUGAAAGAUGGCAGUGGGGUGUCCUCCUUUACAUGCUAUGUACUUGAUUGACGCUGCCUCCACACUGGUGUUCCUUAGGAAUUUCCCCAUUUUGAACAAUAUGAUUGUGUCUUAUCAUGACCUGUCAAGCUAGUGUCAGCAGGGUGUAAAACUAUAUUAAAAUCCUCAACGACGAUUUAGAAGUUUGAAAUUCUCGACAGGGUGUUUUGAGAACACAAUUUGUAGUCAUAUGUCAUCGAGAAACGCAAGGAUGAAAGUGAAAUGGUUGUUGCGUUGUUGGCACUUUCUUUUAUAACCUAAGCUGAUGCAUUUUGUACAACUAAAGAAUCUAAGCACAAGAUGCUGUUGCUAUUCAAUUUUUGUCAUUGCAGCUA